rnacentral:rRNA from 1 species
AUUGAACGCUGGCGGCAGGCCUAACUCAUGCAAGUCGAGCGGAGCGGCGGUCGGGCGAGUAAUGCUUAGGAUUCCGCCUGGUAGUGGGGGAUAACGUCCGGAAACGGGCACUAAUUCCUCAUUCUUUAACAUCAGCCUAGGUCGGAUUAGCUAGUUGGUGGGGUAAAGGCCUACCAGGGCGACGAUCCGUACCUGGGCUGAGAGGAUGAUCAGUCACAAUGGAACUGAGACACGGUCCAGACUCCUACGGGAGGCAGCAGUGGGGAAUAUUGGACAAUGGGCGAAAGCCUUAUCCAGCCAUGCCGCGUGUGUGAAGAAGGUCUUCGGAUUGGAAAACACUUUAAGUUGGGAGGCGUUACCAACAGAAUAAGCACCGGCUAACUUCGUGCCAGCAGCCGCGGUAAUUC